rnacentral:rRNA from 1 species
CGAAGGGGGCUAGCGUUGUUCGGAAUUACUGGGCGUAAAGGGCGCGUAGGCGGCCUUGAUAGUUGGGCGUGAAAGGCCUGGGCUUAACCCGGGAACUGCGUUCAAUACUGUAAGGCUAGAGUGUGGGAGAGGUUGGUGGAAUUCCCAGUGUAGAGGUGAAAUUCGUAGAUAUUGGGAAGAACACCGGUGGCGAAGGCGGCCAACUGGACCACAACUGACGCUGAGGCGCGAAAGCGUGGGGAGCAAACAGGAUUAGAUACCCUGGUAGUCCACGCUGUAAAUUAUGUGUGCUUGACGUCGGGGGGCCUAGCCCUUCGGUGUCGGAGCUAACGCGGUAAGCACACCGCCUGGGGAGUACGGUCGCAAGAUU